CAGCAUUCUCUGUUGCUCUUAAGGUUGAAGGUAACUCAUUUAGAUCAAGAUUUAAGAAAUGCAAGCAACAGAUGUUCACAUUAUCAAGUGUUACAAUAUGUCCAAAGUCUUCUAAUUUCGACAACUUUCUUCAUUGUCACUAUUAAUAUGCACACGGUGGUCUGCAUCUGCUGCGGUAAAGAAGCCUCCCCUUCAGCCCUUGUCAGAGGGAUUCCCACUGCCUUCACCUCCUCUGCCUGUGAGGGAACCUCUCUUUCCCUCUCCAUAAGAAAUCAGAAAAAAGCAACUUAUUUCUAUGGGACAUUUAUACAUGUGUGCUGAGGAACAAAGGGACUUUACAGCUUGCACUUUACCAGUGUGCCUCUUUUCAAGCUGGAAGCUAUACCAUUAAUUACUUUACUCUCUACACAGUCAAUUAUGUAUCAGAUAUCCAGCAGUCUUUCUAAAUCCAUUACUUCCA
rnacentral:lncRNA from 1 species